UACAGAGGUCUCAAGCGUUGUUCGGAUUUACUGGGCGUAAAGGGUGUGUAGGCGGUUGGGUAAGUCUAAAGUGAAAGCUCUAAGCUUAACUUAGAAAUUGCUUUAGAUACUAUUCGACUCGAGGUCCGGAAAGGAGAUUGGAAUUCUCGGUGUAGCAGUGAAAUGCGUAGAUAUCGAGAGGAACAUCAGUGGCGAAAGCGAAUCUCUGGACGAAUCCUGACGCUGAGGCACGAAAGCUAGGGUAGCAAACGGG
rnacentral:rRNA from 1 species